rnacentral:lncRNA from 1 species
CGUGAUUGCCUGCCACACUCGAAGGGUUCGGAGAAUAAUCUUCAUCUUCACCGCCCACACGCCGUAGUUGGCGUCGGUGAGCAUCGGGUACUGGAUGGGGAUGUUGCGAUGCGCCUGGACGUUAGCGCCGCUCGUUCCUCCACCACUGGUUGCUGACUUGACGCCCUUCUUCACCUUGUCGCCGUUCUUGUUCGCCUUGGCACCGCCGCUGUCGGACUUGACCGACUCAGCGUCGCUGUCCGUCAUCGUAGAUCGUAGAUCGUCGAGGCUCUAGAUACCAAUUGUUGGCUUUUGAACGUGCGUAUGCAGCUGUACAGGCGUGCCUACGCGAUUCUUGCUUCGGCCGGCUACUUGACGGAACUUGCGUAACUAGCGACACGAAUAAAACUGAUCGAUGGAUUUGAU